UACGUAGGGUGCGAGCGUUAAUCGGAAUUACUGGGCGUAAAGCGUGCGCAGGCGGUGAUGUAAGACCGAUGUGAAAUCCCCGGGCUUAACCUGGGAACUGCAUUGGUGACUGCAUCGCUCGAGUAUGGCAGAGGGGGGUAGAAUUCCACGUGUAGCAGUGAAAUGCGUAGAGAUGUGGAGGAAUACCGAUGGCGCAGGCAGCCCCCUGGGUCAAUACUGACGCUCAUGCACGAAAGCGUGGGGAGCAAACAGG
rnacentral:rRNA from 1 species